AAAGAUAAACUCCAACCAAGCAACGAGGAAGACUAAUUGGUGAUCGGACUCCCACGUCUAAGGAGGGCUUGCGUUUGGAUGACGGAGAUGUCUCGGCAAACAAUUCCAGGUGCAAGAAGAAACUAGCGUGCGAACAAUAGAAAAUCUGCAAAGGGGUGGAGGGGGCAGAGAAGUGAUGAAAGACAUUCAGGACAAACAGUCCAAAGGAACUGAAUAUAUUGGAACAAAACCUCUGAGGUGUUGAAAGAAUCUUACCAAGCCAACUCUGAAGAAGAAAGUCCAGAAAUGCAAUUACUCCAGCCCUGAGGAGUAAAUAUCUAAAAUGAGAAGCCAGACAGAAAGCAAACCAGAAUAAAGACUUAAAUUAAC